rnacentral:rRNA from 1 species
AUUCCAGCUCCAAUAGCGUAUAUUAAUGUUGUUGCAGUUAAAAAGCUCGUAGUUGGAUUUCUGGUCGGAACGCCGGUCCGGCUCCGCAAGGGGUCGUGUAUUGGUUUCUCCUGCCAUCCUCAGGGGGAGCUGCGCUGGUAUUCAUUUAUCGGCGUGGUUACGCCUGUCGUUUACUGUGAACAAAUUAGAGUGUUCAAAGCAAGGUGUACUUGAAUACAUUAGCAUGGAAUAAUAAGAUAGGACUUUGGUGGUUCUUUUUGAUAUUUUGUUGGUUUGCACGCCAAAGUAAUGAUUAAUAGGAGCAGUUGGGGGUAUUCGUAUUCAAUUGUCAGAGGUGAAAUUCUUGGAUUUAUAGAAGACGAACUACUGCGAAAGCAUUUACCAAGGAUGUUUUCAUUA